GGGCCUGUAGCUCAGCGGAAUCAGAGCUUCUGUCUUCUAAACAGAAAGUCGCAGGUUCGAAUCCUGCCAGGCUCACCA
rnacentral:tRNA from 1 species